AGCUUUGCGCAGUGGCAGUAUCGUAGCCAAUGAGGUUUAUCCGAGGCGCGAUUAUUGCUAAGAAUUUGAUUCUUCUAUAUGGAUGUUAGUAAAUAUUCUUCCAGCAUGAGAAUAUGAAAUCAUUAUGUAUAGUGCUGAAGAAGAAUG